ACGUGGACAAUCUGCCCCCCGGCCCGGGAUAGCCCAGGGAAACCUGGAUUAAUACCGGAUGAGACGGGACCCGCGAAGGCGGGACCCGGGAAAGGCGCUGCGGCGCCGGCCGGGGGAUGAGUCUGCGUCCCAUUAGCUAGACGGCGGGGUAACGGCCCACCGUGGCGACGAUGGGUAGCCGGCCUGAGAGGGUGGACGGCCACAUUGGAACUGAGACACGGUCCAGACUCCUACGGGAGGCAGCAGCUAAGAAUAUUCCACAAUGGACGAAAGUCUGAUGGAGCGACGCCGCGUGGAUGAAUGAAGGCCGAAAGGUUGUAAAAUCCUUUUACACUGGAGGAAUAAGCAGAGUAGGGAAUGACUCUGUGAUGACUGUACAGUUUGAAUAAGCAACGGCUAAUUACGUGCCAGCCGCCGC
rnacentral:rRNA from 1 species